GACGAACGCUGGCGGCGUGCUUAACACAUGCAAGUCGAACGGAAAGACCCUGCUUUUGUGCGGUGCUCGAGUGCCGAACGCGUGAGUAACACGUGUGUAACCUGCCCUUGUCUUUGGGAUAACUUCAGGAAACUGGGGCUCAUACCGGAUAGGAGCUCCUGCUCCAUGGUGGGGGUUGGAAAGUUUCGGCGGUUGGGGAUGGAUUAGCGGCUUAUCAGCUUGUUGGUGGGGUAGUGGCUUACCAAGUCUUUGACGGGUAGCCGGCCUGGGAGGGGGACCGGGGACAUGGGGACUGAGAGACGGAGCAGACUCGUACGGGAGGCAGUGGGGGGGAGUAUGACACAGUGGGCGCAAGCCUGAUGCAGCAACGCUGGGUGCGUGAUGACGGCCUUCGGGUUGUAAACCGCUUUCGCCUGAGACGAAGCGUGAGUGACGGUAAUGGGUAAAGAAGCACCGGCUAACUACGUG
rnacentral:rRNA from 1 species